ACGGCGAGUGAAGCGGCAACAGCUCAAAUUUGAAAUCUGGCUCUUUCGGGGUCCGAGUUGUAAUUUGUAGAGGGUGCUUUGGCGUUGGUUGUGGUCUAAGUUCCUUGGAACAGGACGUCACAGAGGGUGAGAAUCCCGUACGUGGCCGCCAGCCUCCGCCGUGUAAAGCCCCUUCGAUGAGUCGAGUUGUUUGGGAAUGCAGCUCUAAAUGGGAGGUAAAUUUCUUCUAAAGCUAAAUAUUUGCCAGAGACCGAUAGCGCACAAGUAGAGUGAUCGAAAGAUGAAAAGCACUUUGGAAAGAGAGUCAAAAAGCACGUGAAAUUGUUGAAAGGGAAGCGCUUGCAGCUAGACGUGCCUUUGGUUGAUCAGCCGGGCUUUUGCCCGGUGCACUCUUCCUUUGGCAGGCCAGCAUCAGUUUGGGCGGCUGGAUAAAGGUCUGUUAAACGUGACUUCCUUCGGGGAGAGCUUAUAGGGCAGACGACAUGCAGCCAGCCUGAACUGAGGUCCGCGCAUCUGCUAGGAUGCUGGCGUAAUAGCUGUAAGCGGCCCGUCUUGAAACACGGACCAAGGAGUCUAACAUCUAUGCGAGUGUUUGGGUGUCAAGCCCGAGCGCGUAAUGAAAGUAAACGGAGGUGGGAACCCUUUGGGUGCACCAUCGACCGAUCUUGAUGUCUUCGGAUGGAUUUGAGUAAGAGCAUAGCUGUUGGGACCCGAAAGAUGGUGAACUAUGCCUGAAUAGGGUGAAGCCAGAGGAAACUCUGGUGGAGGCUCGCAGCGGUUCUGACGUGCAAAUCGAUCGUCAAAUUUGGGCAUAGGGGCGAAAGACUAAUCGAA
rnacentral:rRNA from 1 species